GACGAACGCUGGCGGCGUGCUUAACACAUGCAAGUCGAGCGGUAAGGCCCUUUCGGGGGUACACGAGCGGCGAACGGGUGAGUAACACGUGGGUGACCUGCCCUCAGCUCUGGGAUAAGCCUGGGAAACCGGGUCUAAUACCGGAUAUGACUCCAUGACGCAUGUUGUGGGGUGGAAAGCCUUGUGCGGCUGAGGAUGGGCCCGCGGCCUAUCAGCUUGUUGGUGGGGUGANGGGCCUACCAAGGCGACGACGGGUAGCCGGCCUGAGAGGGCGACCGGCCACACUGGGACUGAGACACGGCCCAGACUCCUACGGGAGGCAGCAGUGGGGAAUCUUGCGCAAUGGGCGAAAGCCUGACGCAGCGACGCCGCGUGAGGGAUGACGGCCU
rnacentral:rRNA from 1 species